rnacentral:rRNA from 1 species
GACGAACGCUGGCGGCGUGCCUAAUACAUGCAAGUAGAACGCUGAAGGAGGAGCUUGCUUCUCUGGAUGAGUUGCGAACGGGUGAGUAACGCGUAGGUAACCUGCCUGGUAGCGGGGGAUAACUAUUGGAAACGAUAGCUAAUACCGCAUAAGAGUAGAUGUUGCAUGACAUUUACUUAAAAGGUGCAAUUGCAUCACUACCAGAUGGACCUGCGUUGUAUUAGCUAGUUGGUGAGGUAACGGCUCACCAAGGCAACGAUACAUAGCCGACCUGAGAGGGUGAUCGGCCACACUGGGACUGAGACACGGCCCAGACUCCUACGGGAGGCAGCAGUAGGGAAUCUUCGGCAAUGGACGGAAGUCUGACCGAGCAACGCCGCGUGAGUGAAGAAGGGUUUCGGAUCGUAAAGCUCUGUUGUAAGAGAAGAACGAGUGUGAGAGUGGAAAGUUCACACUGUGACGGUAUCUUACCAGAAAGAGACGGCUAACUACGUG